GACGAACGCUGGCGGCGUGCUUAACACAUGCAAGUCGAACGGAAAGGCCCUGCUUUUGUGGGGUGCUCGAGUGGCGAACGGGUGAGUAACACGUGAGUAACCUGCCCUUGACUUUGGGAUAACUUCAGGAAACUGGGGCUAAUACCGGAUAGGAGCUCCUGCUGCAUGGUGGGGGUUGGAAAGUUUCGGCGGUUGGGGAUGGACUCGCGGCUUAUCAGCUUGUUGGUGGGGUAGUGGCUUACCAAGGCUUUGACGGGUAGCCGGCCUGAGAGGGUGACCGGCCACAUUGGGACUGAGAUACGGCCCAGACUCCUACGGGAGGCAGCAGUGGGGAAUAUUGCACAAUGGGCGGAAGCCUGAUGCAGCAACGCCGCGUGCGGGAUGACGGCCUUCGGGUUGUAAACCGCUUUCGCCUGUGGCGAAGCGCGAGUGACGGUAAUGGGUAAAGAAGCACCGGCUAACUACGUG
rnacentral:rRNA from 1 species